rnacentral:tRNA from 1 species
GCCGAGGUAGCUCAGCCUGAUCCUUGAACAUGGAGGCUCUGGACUCGAUCGGCCCAUUCGCAGGUUCAAAUCCUGCCCUCGGCA